CGGGAUGUAGCCUAGCGGCUAAGGCGCUUGCUUUGGGAGCAAGAGAUCGACGGUUCAAGUCCGUCCAUCCCGA
rnacentral:tRNA from 1 species